rnacentral:misc_RNA from 1 species
UUCUGAUGGCUUCGAUUAC